rnacentral:lncRNA from 1 species
UUUUUUUUAUCCCUAAUUUUUGCCCGAACCUUUUUCAUUUUUUUUUUGGUUCGCCGGGAUGCCCUUUUUUGCCUGGACUAUUUUGUUCUUUUCGUCCAGCGGGUCUCUUUAUACGAAGUAUUUUUUAACUGCGUCCACAUUCACAGGGGAUGGAAAAUCCUCUCCAUCCAUGGUCGUUAAUAACAAGGCUCCGCCAGAGAAAACCUUCUUAACCACGAAUGGACCUUCAUAAUUAGGUGUCCACUUGCCCCUACGAUCGUUUUGAGGAGGAAGGAUC